AGUUUUCUACAUCAAUUAAUUUCCAAAAAUGAGGAUCGAAGAAGUAGUUGAAGCUGAAGCACCGAUUGUAGCCAGAAAAAGGCAUUCCAAAUCGGCGGUCGUUGAAGCGAAUUCUUCAGCGAUGGUAGAAUCGGAAGAGAGGGAAAUCAACAAGGCUGCUGGAAAAAACGAAAGAGAACAUGCAUCUGCUUCCAUUUUUAAGAGGCCAUUUUGCACUGAUUUUCUCAAGUUCUGCUUUGAACGCUUUGAGGUUACUCUGUGGUCUUCUGCAAGAGAGCAUAACAUAGAAGGUGUUUUAACCAAUAUUACUGAUGGGAGUGCAAACAGAAACAAGUUGCUAUUCAUUUGGGCUAAAAGUGGCGCAGGAUGCUGCAAAAGGACUAGCAUAUCUUCAUGAGGGCAUGAAAAUUCAAAUUAUAUUCAGAGAUUUCAAGUCUUCAAACAUUAUUUUGGAUGAGCAGUGAAAUGCUAAGCUCUCGGAUUUUGGGUUGGCCAAAUAAGGCCCUACUGAUGGAUUAAGUCAUGUCUCUACUGCUAAGGGAGAGAUCACCCAGACAUUGGAGGAAGCGGAUGAAAUCAGGUGUUACUGUACAAGACAGAGGAGCGUCUUUCCUUCACCCCCUCGCAGUUGAGGCCUUACCGCGAGUGGGUCAACAAGAGGUGGGUUCUCCCUUUGGACCCCUCCUGCUCGUCGUAUAAAGCUGAUCAGUUGUCACCUGAAGUGGAAGCAGUGAUUGGACAUGUCUUUAACUUAGGAGACCAUGUUGAAGCCAUGAUUGAUGGAGAUGGUUUUUAUGGUGCUUUGAAGUGGAAGCAGUGAUUGAACAUGUCUUUAACUCAGGAGACCAUGUUGAAGCAAUGAUUGAUGCAGAUGGUUUUUAUGGUGCUUGGUUCCCUGCAAUUGUUCUUAUAAAAACAGAGGCUUAUAACUACUAUAUGAUUGAGUACAAAAAUUUGAUGAUGGAUUAUAAUUGUUGUUGACAUGGCUUGUACGUGUAGUUGAAGAACAAACAUCAAUGAUUUGAAAGUGUAGUUGACAUGACUUAUA